CUCCUGUAUGCCAUCUGAAGCUGCAGCGCAUGGAAAACACUUGAAUAUGUUGGAGUCUACUCCUGCUCAGGAAGUCUUCAUAGCUUUGCACUCAUUUCUUUUCAACAUCCACAGUUCCUAGGGCUUGUUUCUGCAUAGCAGGGGAUAGCAGUGGAGGUCACCGAGAUCACCAUGGACCUCCUUUCUCAUUCAGAGCUGCAAACAAGAAGACUGUCACCAGAAGGAGUCCUCCAAAGCAAGCUCACAUAUCAAUGUGGCACUCAGCGGUGGAUUGAAUCCUCUUUUGUCUUUCAGGAUAUGCAUUCACUGAGGGGAGUUGCAUGUGCUUCUGGGCAGCUGGCAGGCAGUUUCAUUCAACAAUGAUGCCAUAAAGUCCUCCACUCCUUUCUAGAAAGCACAUAUUGCUUGCAUCCUCUGCCUCAUUAAAACCAAAGGCCCUCUGCUCCCUCCCUUUACCUCUGGGUGAAACAGUGGAUUUGGGAGGCUGAGAGCUGUCAUUGCUUGGUGUUUUGCCUGCACAUCCCACCCUGAGGCAUAAUGGCUCUAUGCUACUUCCUAGGUAUAUAUUGCUACAAACCAAGCUGCUCUUUCUCAGUAGAAAAAAAACCUCAUUAUUAAGGUUUUGCAUUUUGUGGUUGGCCAGCUCAGUUGCUUUGGGUGUUUUGGGGUAUUUUGUCUCUUCAGCCUUUCAGAGUUUCCUCCUUUGCUGCUGCUAGUGCUGUUCUGGGCCAGGUGAAGUUCUCCUCCACCAGCAAUCAGUGAUAGUUUAUGGCACUCAUAAUGAUGAAAUUCCAUCUGUCUCACAGCAGAUCCCUCAGGAGGUUGCUAAUCAAACAACAUUCAAUUAGCCCCUCCAGCUCUGCCACAUUCAGCUGCAUCAUCUCCUCAGCCUACGAGGAAACUCGAAGAAGCUGACAAAAUUGCUGGGCUGUGGUGCACAACACUUACAUCUUCUGCAGCCUUUCUGAGCAUUUAUCUCCUCUUUUCUGAGGCUGUAACAAACUCUUCAGAGGGGGUUAGGUCUAAUUGCUACAGAAAUCAAUUUUGCUUGGUAUCUGUUGGCUCUUUUCUUUCAGAGCAGAUUAUAGAUAACAGUGGCCCAACUAUUCACUGUAUUGCUGGGAGUUUUCCUUUCCUUCAUUAAGGACCUUUGCUUUCCCCAGAAGUUUCCAGCUGUAUAAAAGGACUUCUCCUGUCACAGUGAACUCUUUACUCAAACGCUGAGAACUUGCUGCUUUGUUUAACCUGUUGCUUUGUUUAACUUAACUGCUUUAUGAACUCCUGCUCACAAAGCCAAAAGUAAUGUGUCAAGGGGAAAGAGGGCUGGGGCUCAAAAGUGUCAGGUAACCCUGCUUAAACCUUUUUAUCUGCAUUAAUAUAACCUUUGCUGCAUCUGCAUUAAUAUAACCUUUGUGACUGAUCCAGAGGUCUGUCACAGUGAUUUCAGUAAGGCUGGGAAAUGAGUGGAGGUAGAUUUGAGCCCUUGAAUACCACUGGGCAGAAGUGCACUGGUUUGGGGAAACUAUAGCUGAAGUAGUGGGCAGAUGGCACAAGUUAUUUAGGCUCUCAUCUGGGUGUCUUCCAGGACAAUUUGGUUUAAAUUGGAAAAAAAAAAAAACAACAUUUGUCUGCAUUGCAGUAAUUGAUGGAGGAUGAGAAGCCAUGAUCAGAUCUGGAGUUAGAUGGCAUGGACUAGGCUUUUCCACCCAACACUGCUGGAUUCUAGCAGCAGUUUGCCAAACCUGUUAGGUAAAGUGUCUGGAGCUAACGUGAUGGAGAGAGGUGCCCUCCCCACCCACCCAGAGACCCCCCCAUGAGAAGUCAGGCAACUUUGAAUGCUUACUUCUGAAGAAAAAUUCACCAAGCCUGAAGCUAAAGGUCAAAACUCCUUUGGUAAAGAUGUGGUUGGUGCUUGGGUGAGAUGCAGCCUGAGUGAUAGGAGAGGUUUGGGGCUGUCUUUUGUUUUACACAAACCUGUUCACCCAUCAUUGGUUUCAGAGAAUGACCUUCCAUAACCUACAUGCUGGGUUUGGUUUGGAAGCAAUGUCCCUUGAAAGAAGCUUUACAAGCAACUUUCCUGUCUUGCAUGAAGCAGAUGCAGCUCCAUUGCUCUGGCUGGCAGCAGGAGGUGGGCAAAUUGGAUUGAGUGUCACAAGAAACACUUGAUCUUCAGCAGCAACUUGCCCUGUGUUGCACAUCAUUACCAACAGGAGGAAAUAGCAGAGGGAGGUUUCAGCCUUGUAUGCCUUGCCUAGGCAGCAGACUACUCUUAAAAGCUUAGAGGGUGAAGUGUGGUGCUGAAGUCCCUUUUUGGCACAGCCUCUCUAUUUACUGCCAGAUGUGGAUGGAUGGAUUUAAUGAAGCAUGGAAGUGGGAUCAGACAGAGCUGGGUCCCUCCUGCUCCCCUGCUGAGGGCUUCUGUGAUCCUGCUAAGUGACUUGUUUUCUCUCUGCUCCAGGCUGCCACCAGGAAAAACAGGCAUGAUAUUGCCUUCCUCUGAUGCCUUGUCUUUCAUGAUCAGCUUAAAGCUCUUCAGGCAACGGUCUACUUCUUACCUUGUUUUUUGCUGUGCUGCCAUCAGCUGUCUAGACACGACCACAAUGCAAAUAUUAAGCAGCACUGACAACUGAAACCUUGCUUCCAUCUUAUGUCCUUAGAUGUCAGCAAGUAAUGUCAUGGCAUCAGCAAUGGCACACCAUGGCCUGGCAUAACAGAAGUGACACAAAGUGCUGAAAGCAACACAAGACAAAACUUCAAGGCAUACACACAUCUGCUCCUGAACCUCCUUUUAGUUGGCAAGGAAAGGCAGGAGAAUAGCCUGCAAACUGUCACACAUUGCACAAGUUCCACAGUCUGCAACAGGUGAAUCUGCCAAACUUUGGUUGGGUUUUGGCCUCAUCAGUAAACUACUUUGAGGAACUGAACAGCAGCAUACAUCAGGUCAUUAGACAGAAGGAGAUAUUAGGUGGUUUACUUUUAAGUCACUUUUUGAUCACUGAGCAGGACGCAGAGGGAAGUGGUGGAGUUACCAUCCCUAAAUGUGGUUAAAAGACACUUAGAUGUGGUGCUGAAGGACAUGGUUUAGUGGUGACCUGGCACCACUGAAUACUGUUAACAGUGGGACUUGCUGAUCUUAAAAGUCUCUUCCAACCAAAACAUUUCUGUGAUUCUUUGAUUGUGUAUUUCCAUCCGAGUCCUGUGUAGCUCAUUAAUAGGUAAGAGCCACUGUCAUAGUCAACUGAAAACAGGGCAGACUAUGCAGUCCCCAGAGAGCUGGAAUUUCAUGCCUGAGGGAGAAUUGCAGGGCAGGAUUUAGAGAGCCUGGUGCAUGCAUACCGAGGUGGUCAUGGCUAAUCUGCUCCCAGUGCUAUAAAUAGCUACACCAAAACAGACUCAGCUCAGUAGUGCCUCUUGCAAAUCUGCCUUGCUCUUUGCCCAGUUCUUUCUGAUGCACAUUCACCUUAUAUGAGUGAGGAGCCAGAACUACAGCUACCCCACUUUGGGGGCCCAGCAGGCAGCUACCUCCACCUCUCAGCCUUAUGCUGCUGCUGGAGAUGCUCUCCCCUCUGCUGCUGAUGCUGUUUUUCUCCUACAGAUCAAUAGCCAACUUCAUGUCUGUCUUAUGCUGACUGCUCUAAGCAAGUGGCACUUCAAAACUGCAAUGACAGCUUCCUAUAAUACUCCAAGACAGACAGAGAGGGCAGAAAUCAUGGGUUAGACUGGACUGGAAAGAGCAAUAACGUCGAUCCAGAACGUGCAGCUUUCCUUAAGGAUGCCCUGUGUGUGCCUUAGCCCCAGACAUACAGAGCUUUCCUCUGCCACUGUGUUGUAGUCUUUGCCAUACGUGAGGCAUGAGCAAGCGGUCAAGGAUGAAUUUGGUUUCUUGUCUCCUUAACAAGCAUCUCAAAAGGUGAAGGUAAAUCCUCGUUCCUGCAGCAGGAAGGAAAGAAGUCUUUCAGGCAGCCUUACAUUUGAAAUUCUCUACCAAACACCGACUUUCUGCCACAGAAAGCUCCUCCUUGAGAAGAAAUGUGCCCAUGACCGUUUUGGAGCAAUCUGACCUU